rnacentral:rRNA from 1 species
AGAGUUUGAUCAUGGCUCAGGACGAACGCUGGCGGCGUGCUUAACACAUGCAAGUCGAACGGAAAGGCCCUUCGGGGUACUCGAGUGGCGAACGGGUGAGUAACACGUGGGUGAUCUGCCCUGCACUUCGGGGUAAGCCUGGGAAACUGGGUCUAAUACCGGAUAUGACCUCAGGAUGCAUGUCUUGUGGUGGAAAGCUUUUGCGGUGUGGGAUGGGCCCGCGGCCUAUCAGCUUGUUGGUGGGGUGAUGGCCUACCAAGGCGACGACGGGUAGCCGGCCUGAGAGGGUGUCCGGCCACACUGGGACUGAGAUACGGCCCAGACUCCUACGGGAGGCAGCAGUGGGGAAUAUUGCACAAUGGGCGCAAGCCUGAUGCAGCGACGCCGCGUGGGGGAUGACGGCCUUCGGGUUGUAAACCCCUUUCAGCACAGACGAAGCGCAAGUGACGGUAUGUGCAGAAGAAGCACCGGCCAACUACGUGCCAGCAGCCGCGGUAAUACGUAGGGUGCGAGCGUUGUCCGGAAUUACUGGGCGUAAAGAGCUCGUAGGUGGUUUGUCGCGUUGUUCGUGAAAACUCACAGCUCAACUGUGGGCGUGCGAGCGAUACGGGCAGACUGGAGUACUGCAGGGGAGACUGGAAUUCCUGGUGUAGCGGUGGAAUGCGCAGAUAUCAGGAGGAACACCGGUGGCGAAGGCGGGUCUCUGGGCAGUAACUGACGCUGAGGAGCGAAAGCGUGGGGAGCAAACAGGAUUAGAUACCCUAGUAGUCC